AUAUAUUUGAAAAGGAGAAGAUUCAGGGUUUCUCAUGGUGUUAUUGUUAUGUCUGUAGGACAAAUACUCGCAGAGCUUUUAAAUGCAAUUGCUAAAAAUAGCUCCAACUGCCCCAUGGGGCACCUCCGGGUUGGAAGGGUUAAGGACCGUGUUUGUGACCAAGCAGUAGUGUGAUUAGAUUUUAGGUGGAUAAUUUUUUUUUUAUUUAAACACACAAAUUCUGUGUGUUGUCGGACAAGCCAAACAUUCAAAAUAUCACAGCAUUCUUUUAUGGAUGAAGUGCUUGCUAGUGUUUUACAAGGUACAGUUGCCAAGAUGAUGUAUAUUUUAAGGAAGAACAUUUUAGCAAUACAAUAAAAACCCACAAAAACACAUCAAAUGCUUGCGUUCUUUAUUAGAAACUUGGAAGACAGAUUUUUAGGUUUUUAACAAGUGCACAAUCUGUAUACAAAUCAACAAUCUGUGAUGCGUGUGUGUCUCCAUUUUGCAGCUCUGAAGCUGCACAUAGAUAUGAAGGCACUUAGUGAAGUGCUGCAUCAGAAUGAGAGAUAGGAUACAUGACAAAAGGUCCACCACAGCUCCCAGUACCCACCCCUGCUCCCAGUCCAGCUAGCCCAAUCCACCCACAGCUCCCAAUCACCCAGCCACCCCAAUCCACCCACAGCACCACUGCUUUCACUACAGCCUCUAAUAGGCUCAUUUAUAAACUCACACUCAAAGAGGAGGGACCCUCUCUUUCUGACCAUGGACAUUCUGCACCUGCUAUAAUGUCCAACAAUAAGUCUCAUUGCUAUAUCUCUAACCUUUUCCUGUCUGAGCAAAUAUAAUUAGCAACUAGUCAAAACAGAGCUGUCCAGAUGUCAACAUUGACCAGUGUGCACGCCCCACAUGAAGUAUCCCCCCUCAGCGUAAGAGCAAAGGCCUGUGGGAAAUGUAGACCUUUUGAACAACCCAACAUGUAGAAUUUCGAGCGAUGACGCCACUGACCAAGACGACUUAAAGGAGAGUCCAAAUUACAUUAUAUUAUACAUUGAUUACAUUAUAUGUACUGUAUAAUCAAUAUAUAAUAAUCAAAUUAUUAAAUACAUAUACAUUUUGCCCCCCAAACCAACAAAUUUGGAAAAUCUAUUGCAAAUACGAAAGGCAUUUCAAAUGCAUCAGAUGCAUAACAAUAUCAGUUUUUGGAAAAUACAAAAAUACGCAGCUCAACAUACAGAACUCUAAAUACAAAGUUACCUAUGGAUUUUACCCCCUCAAACCAUCAAAUAAAAACUACAUGAGACUAUUUUCUAUUUCUAAUACCUGAAUUAGACAUUCCUGAAUGCAACCAUGGAAACAAGGCACUUUUGAUUAAACAAACACAAAAGGUAUAAUACUUAGUCCUGCAUUGGCAUCCUACACAACUGUCUGCAGGUAUGUGCACAAGAACAAGGAUUGUCACUUUCACCUACACAACUCUCUGCUCGUAUGCAUCCUACACAACUUUCUGCUCGUAUAUGCAUACUACACAACUCUCUGCUCGUAUAUGCAUCCUACACAACUCUCUGCUCGUAUAUGCAUCCUACACAACUUUCUGCUCGUAUAUGCACCCUACACAACUCUCUGCUCGUAUAUGCAUACUACACAACUCUCUGCUCGUAUAUGCAUACUACACAAGUGUCAGCAAGUAUAUGGAUUUCACCCCCUCAAACCAUCAAAUAAAAAGUUCUAGUAACCACAGCCACAGCAUGCCUUUGGGCUGACCCAGGGCAACCGAGUUAUUCAAUUCAAUUCAAUUCAAUUCAAUUCAAUUCAAUUCAACUUUAUUUCGCCAUGUAUACAGAUACUAGGAAUUUUUGGGGGUAUUCUCCAUGCAGGCUAUAGUAUCACCAAACUCCAAUCUCCUGCACGAGAUCUCCACGGCCGCUACACAAGCGCCAUCGGAAUUAAACCACAGGGUUCUGUCUUUGGGCCCGCCCAGGGCAACAGAGUUAUUGAACCACAGGGUUCUGUCUUUGGGCCCGCCCAGGGCAACAGAAUUAAAGAACCACAGGGUUCUGUCUUUGGGCCCGCCCAGGGCAACAGAGUUAUUGAACCACAGGGUUCUGUCUUUGGGCCCGCCCAGGGCAACAGAAUUAAAGAACCACAGGGUUCCGUGUCUUUGAGGUGCUGGCUCCAACCAGCAGGAAAUACCUGAACAAGGUCACCUGAUCUGCCUGGCGGUGGAGGCAGUCUCGCCUGCAUUAAUUAGCUCCACAGCCCUAACCUAAUCUAGAUGCGUCCCAUAACAACACUCAGCAGACUGAGGGGCACUAAAGGCCUAAAGUCAGGUGCCAGGAGACUGAGAGAGCGAAGAGAAGACAUGCUCCAAGUGUGGAAGCUGAUAGAGAGUAAAAUAGAGGAGUACUGGGGACCAAUAUUCCCAUGUAUUUGCAUGUAGUAGCAAGCAAUGUCUAUUAAAUUCUGUAAAACACAGAAGAAUAAGCAUACAAAAA
ensembl:lncRNA